AGUCCAAAAAUUCUAUAAUCCCAUUCCCUAAAACUAAUCUCCCUACCAUCAGCCUCCAAACCAUCACUUUAGCCAAAAAUGAUUUUAUUUUCAUCAUACACAUCUCCUCUGAUAAUAGCAGAAAGAUGAAAUGUGGUAUAAUGGGAAGAGUACCAGGAGUCCUGACUCUGCCACUGGCACUCUCUGUAGGCUUAAGCAAAUCACUCACCUCCUAAGCCUCAAGUUGGACUGAAGUGAUCCCUAACUCAAGCAUUUUAGGAGAUAUAUACUAUCCUCAGGUCUUGACCAAGCCACUCAAUCUUGUUAGACCUGUGAUUUUAAAGGGCAGGGUGAAUUAUAACCAGUUCUCUCUUGGCCAGCACCAAGAAUAACAUAAGAGGUUUCAUUCUGGUUUUUCUCCCUUUAAGGAAAAGAAAAGGAAAGCCUUUUUUAAAUAACCAAAGUUGAACUUUUAAAAGGAGCAUGGGCAACAGUAUUUAAAUCUCCAGAGAAAGUAUUUUUGUUGCUGCUGUUGUGGAUUUUUUUUUUUUUUUUUGAGAGAGGAUAGAAGAGGAUAAUUUUGAAGUCUAACAGUAACACAACAGCAGCUGGACAAAUAGGAAUAUCAUGUGUGCUUUCAGAGAGAGGACUAAAGAUGAGUCGACAUGAUUUUUCAAGUUGAGGAAGAAAUAAGGCUGAGGAUAGAUUCCUGUUCUACAUCAUUUCCACAGCAAACACAGCACAUUUCUUUUCUUUCUUUUCUUUUUUUUUUAAAUGGGAAAAAAUCAGCCUGUUCAGUGGAUAACCUGAUGGGGGCAAUCCCAGUUCCCAGGACACUCUAGAUUUUCCUUUCGGUGCCCUCUUCUUUCUCCCUUCUCCUGCUUCCCGAAUCACGCGCACCUCAGCGCACCCAGGCACACAUAGUCUCCCUGUCAAAUUCCUGGCUGAUCCGGAGGGACAUGUGUCGGGGAGCCGGCAAGUUCGCCAUCCAACUGCUCUUCCCCGGGGCCUCAGAAACUGCGGUAACCAUAGAAACAGCAGCCAAUCCGAGGGCUCUGCGGCCAGCAGGGGCGGAGACAGACCCCUCCGACAUACACAGGAAAUGAAGGCCUUCGUGUGUCAUGACAACUAGGGAAGCUGUGGAAGCCUGGCAAGAACCCUGAAACAUUGGUAAAGAGUUGGACUACAUACCAAGAAAGGAGCAAGUUCAGAAGCAAAUAAUAGCCAUGUAACUCAGACCCCAAGGACAGGAUUGGGUCUCAGUUCAAGCUUUUCACCCACUCUGAAACCUACAGAGGAAUAAGCAGAGCAGGAGUCCCUGACCAAAAGAGAGCCAACAGUCCAUCACCAAACAGCAAAACUUCUCAGGUAAAUAAGAGUGACUGAGUCCAGAAGCAUUCUAUUGUUGCUGAGACCCAAACCCAAGUCAAGAGUUGACAGAUCUGCUUCCUAAGCUAAUAGGGCAAAUAAAAGUUGU